GGACGAACGCUUGCGACGUGCCUGAGAAAUGCAAGUCGAGCGGGCACGGUCCCUUUCGGGGGAUUGUGUUAGCGGCGAACGGUCGAGUAACACGUAACCGACCUGCCCUUGUGGUCCGGGAUAGCCCUUCGAAAGGGGGAGUAAUACCGGAUGGUCUCCCAAUGCGGCAUCGUAUUGUGAGUAAAGCCAUUUAUGGCGCCGAAGGAGGGGGUUGCGGCCUAUCAGCUGGUUGGUGUGGUAACGGCGCACCAAGGCGAUGACGGGUAGGGGACCUGAGAGGGUGGCCCCCCACAAUGGAACUGAAACACGGUCCAUACACCUACGGGUGGCAGCAGUAGGGAAUAUUAGUAAUGGGCGAAAGCCUGAACUAGCAACGCCGCGUGUGCGAAGAAGGCCUUCGGGUCGUAAAGCACUUUUUGAGAGGAUGAGGAAGGACGGUACUCUCAGAAUAAGUCUCGGCUAACUACGUGCCAGCAGCCGCGGUAACACGUAGGAGGCAAACGUUAUCCGGAUUUACUGGGCGUAAAGCGCGUGUAGGUGGUUUGGUAAGUAGGGCGUGAAAGCUCCUGGCUCAACUGGGAGAGGACGUUCUAAACUGCCAAGCUUGAGGAUGGUAGAGGGAGGUGGAAUUCCGGGUGUAGCGGUGGAAUGCGCAGAUAUCCGGAGGAACACCAGUGGCGAAGGCGGCCUCCUGGACCACUCCUGACACUCAGACGCGAAAGCUAGGGUAGCAAACGGGAUUAGAGACCCCGGUAGUCCUAGCCCUAAACGAUGUAGACUUGGCGUCGGUGGUUUAAUCGCCAUCGGUGUCGUAGCUAACGCGAUAAGUCUACCGCCUGGGGACUACGGCCGCAAGGUUAAAACUCAUAGGAAUUGACGGGUCCCCGCACAAGCAGCGGAGCGUGUGGUUUAAUUCGAUGCUACACGAAGAACCUUACCUGGGUUUGACAUAGAGGUAGUAGGGAAGCGAAAGCGGACCGACCCUUCGGGGAGCCUCUACAGGUGUUGCAUGGCUGUCGUCAGCUCGUGUCGUGAGAUGUUCGGUUAAGUCCGCUAACGAGCGCAACCCUCGCUGUGUGUUACAAGUGUCACACGGUACUGCCGAUAUUAAGUCGGAGGAAGGUGGGGAUGACGUCAAGUCAGCAUGACCUUUAUAUCCAGGGCUACACACACGCUACAAUGGCCAGUACAAUGGGUUGCCAAGCCGCGAGGCGGAGCCAAUCCUAAAAAGCUGGCCUCAGUUCAGAUUGCAGUCUGCAACUCGACUGCAUGAAGUUGGAGUUGCUAGUAACCGCAGGUCAGCAAUACUGCGGUGAAUACGUUCCCGGGGAU
rnacentral:rRNA from 1 species